rnacentral:misc_RNA from 1 species
GGGAAUACUUCUGGAACAAAUAAUACAUAACUCCUUGCCUUCAUUCCCAAGUUUUCUUCUCUCCUCUUCCUCUCUCAAAUUCAAGAUUAAUCAACCAGAAAAAUAUGGCAGUUUUCCUUUUCAAACUGAUUUUCUUCGCUGUAAUCACAUUAUCAAAUCUCGUUUUACGCUUAAUCUUCACCUUUACAGCUUCCCUUCUAGUGUUGAUCAUCCAAGCUUUCAAGGUACCUGGUGAAGCUGCUCAUGGUGCACUACAACAGAUUGCAGAGGUCAUCAAGGCAUGUUUCGAGUACAUAUUGGAGCUAAUAAUGGAGGCAAUAAGCAGUUUAAUAUCAAGUGCCUUUGAUCUUCUUAUAGAAGCUAUUACGGGUUCUGCUGCUGUUACUGGGUCAGCUAUUGGAAGUCUAGCUGAGAAGGCGAGAAAUUCUCUUGAGGGAUUGUUGAAAGAUUUACCUGAACUUGCUGAUGGUUUCUCAGAGAUGGUUUCAACUAUGAUCACAGAUUUGUGGAACAAUUACAAGGAAGCUGUAGGAUAUGUCACAGAAAAUGCUUAAUUCAUUACGCACUUGUCUUUUUUUUUUGUAUCAUAUGUUCAUGAAUUUUUGCAAGCUUAAUUAACCUGUAAUUUCUUGAAGAUGACUGGAGAAAAGAAUCUGAUUUUGAUUU